GGGCGUAGCUGUAUAGCAAGGAAAUAUGGAUUUGAGCUGGGCGGCUCGACGGCAAACUGAGGCGGCGGCAAGAUGCAGCAACCAGCAGGGUUCGCCCGGCGACGACGCAGACGAGAUGCCACCGACAGACGAGAUGCUAGGUAAUCUGAAUCGCAAAUUGGACUACAUACAAGCUGUGUUCUCCGUGCAAGGCAUAGCGGCUGCUUUUUCCUUGACGCGAGUACACCUACACAACGCAGUGGAUUUCGAUGAUGCGACAUGGCGAUCUAGAUCAAUCAGGCAUGAUUUGAUCCACCAUGCAACAACCAUGCAUGGACAACACGAGACAUACAUGAUGCAAAAUUAGACAAAUUUUGUUUUGUUAUCUGCCUAGGAAAAUACAUGCAAAAAAAUGAAUUAUGCUCCCAUAUUAAUUGUACUACUCCUUUAUGUACUAUACCAUUUGAAUUAAUUAUACUCUAUUUUAUUGUA